rnacentral:rRNA from 1 species
GACGAACGCUGGCGGCGUGCUUAACACAUGCAAGUCGAACGGAAAGGCCCUGCUUUUGUGGGGUGCUCGAGUGGCGAGCGGGUGAGUAACACGUGAGUAACCUGCCCUUGACUUUGGGAUAACUUCAGGAAACUGGGGCUAAUACCGGAUAGGAGCUCCUGCUGCAUGGUGGGGGUUGGAAAGUUUCGGCGGUUGGGGAUGGACUCGCGGCUUAUCAGCUUGUUGGUGGGGCAGUGGCUUACCAAGGCUUUGACGGGUAGCCGGCCUGAGAGGGUGACCGGCCACAUUGGGACUGAGAUACGGCCCAGACUCCUACGGGAGGCAGCAGUGGGGAAUAUUGCACAAUGGGCGGAAGCCUGAUGCAGCAACGCCGCGUGCGGGAUGACGGCCUUCGGGUUGUAAACCGCUUUCGCCUGUGACGAAGCGUGAGUGACGGUAAUGGGUAAAGAAGCACCGGCUAACUACGUG